rnacentral:rRNA from 1 species
CAAUAGCGUAUAUUAAAGUUGUUGCAGUUAAAAAGCUCGUAGUUGGAUUUCUGAUCGAGACAUCAGGUCGGGUCCGAGAGGAUCAUGUACUUUGAUUUUGUUUUGAUCAUCCUUGGGGAGAGCAUUUCUGGCAUUCAGUUGUCGGGAUUGGGAUCCUCAUCGUUUACUGUGGAAAAAUUAGAGUGUUCAAAGCAGGCCUCGGCCUCUGAAUACAUUAGCAUGGAAUAAUAAGAUAGGACUUUGGUGGUCUAUUUUGUUGGUUUGCACGCCAAAGUAAUGAUUAAUAGGGAUAGUUGGGGGUAUUCGUAUUCAAUUGUCAGAGGUGAAAUUCUUGGAUUUAUGGAAGACGAACUACUGCGAAAGCAUUUACCAAGGAUGUUUUCAUUAA